rnacentral:tRNA from 1 species
UCCAAAGGAUAACAGCUAAUCCACUGGCUUUAGGAGCCACACAUUCU